rnacentral:rRNA from 1 species
UACGGAGGGUGCAAACGUUGCUCGGAAUCAUUGGGCGUAAAGCGAGCGUAGGCGGCUAUGUAAGUCGGGUGUGAAAGCCCAGAGCUCAACUCUGGAAGUGCAUUCGAAACUGCAUGGCUUGAGUAGCGGAGAGGAUAGCGGAAUUCCCGGUGUAGAGGUGAAAUUCGUAGAUAUCGGGAGGAACACCAGUGGCGAAGGCGGCUAUCUGGACGCAUACUGACGCUGAAGUUCGAAAGCAUGGGGAGCAAACAGG